GCCCACCCGGCACGCACGGCGCGCUCGGAGUCUGCGCUGCGCACGGCCCGCGGCGUUUGCUCUCGUGUGACGAGGACAGCUGGAAGCACUGAGAGCUCGCUUCACUUCACAGGCAGCUUUCCUUGUAACGUAAAUCAGAACAGGGAUGUGGCCUCCUCACUCCUGCCAGUAUCAGCCCUUCCACCUCUGUUGGAGGAGAUCAGCACUGCAUUGCUGAGGAAAUGGCAGCGACCUCUCCUGAGGCAGUCGCCAGGCAAGACAAUAGUGAUUCUCCUCAGGACCCGCUCCACAGCCUUCUUGGCUUCUACACCUGGAACUUGGCUCCAGCCCCCCAGGGCUCUAGCAGUGAGCUACUAAGUGUGACCCAGGAGGAGACUUUUUUUUUGUCUCUUUCUCUGUGAGAGACUGGCACCAGAUCACCUCCUGAGUAGAGCAGACCUUCCAAAGGACGCCCUGCCAACAACGAUGGACAGCUGGAGACGAUCAAGUGUGUAGAAGGCACCUGAGAUGCUUAGGAAACUCUGCAGUUGCACGCUGCACACCAGGGCAGAGCCCAGCGACUGCAGUCACGAGCUCUGCACGAAAGGUGUGUGUGGGGUGUGUGUGCACACUUUCAAUGCAUGGUGCUUUUUUCCUGCUUAUGAAUCUCUAGACAUCAUCUUUUAAAAUGUCUUGUUUAUAGAGUCAACAAUUUCUGUCUAAUGAGAUGGACUAAAAGGACCUUUUAAAUCACUCACAGACUUACAAGGAAAAUGACAACGUGUCCCAAAUAAAAAAUUGAGCAGCAAUUAUUUCUAAAAUCUUUUAAAUGUUCU